rnacentral:rRNA from 1 species
UACGUAGGUGGCAAGCGUUGUCCGGAUUUACUGGGCGUAAAGGGAGCGUAGGUGGAUAUUUAAGUGGGAUGUGAAAUACUCGGGCUUAACCUGGGUGCUGCAUUCCAAACUGGAUAUCUAGAGUGCAGGAGAGGAAAGGAGAAUUCCUAGUGUAGCGGUGAAAUGCGUAGAGAUUAGGAAGAAUACCAGUGGCGAAGGCGCCUUUCUGGACUGUAACUGACACUGAGGCUCGAAAGCGUGGGGAGCAAACAGGAUUAGAUACCCUGGUA